rnacentral:tRNA from 1 species
GCCGAUGUAGCUCAACGUCAGAGCACCGGUCUUGUUUUCCGGGGAUGCAGCGUUCGACUCCUGCCGUCGGCU